CCUACGGGAGGCAGCAGUGAGGAAUAUUGGUCAAUGGGCGGGAGCCUGAACCAGCCAAGUCGCGUGAGGGAAGACGGUCCUACGGAUUGUAAACCUCUUUUGCCGGGGAGCAAGGGUGUGCUCGUGAGCGCGCGACGAGAGUACCCGGAGAAAAAGCAUCGGCUAACUCCGUGCCAGCAGCCGCGGUAAUACGGAGGAUGCGAGCGUUAUCCGGAUUUAUUGGGUUUAAAGGGUGCGUAGGCGGGCUGCUAAGUCAGCGGUCAAAAUUCGGGGCUCAACCCCGUCGAGCCGUUGAAACUGGCGGUCUUGAGUGGGCGAGAAGUAUGCGGAAUGCGUGGUGUAGCGGUGAAAUGCAUAGAUAUCACGCAGAACUCCGAUUGCGAAGGCAGCAUACCGGCGCCCUACUGACGCUGAGGCACGAAAGCGUGGGUAUCGAACAGGAUUAGAUACCCUUGUAGUC
rnacentral:rRNA from 1 species